GGGUAACGAGAAGAUUGAAAGAGGGAAGCAGAGGAGUUGGGAGCUGGCGGUCGUUCCCGGGGAAGAACUGCUAAAAGAUGAGACCAAGGCACAGACCUUACUGUAUGAGAAGCAAUGCUCCUCAAACCUUCUGCGUCCUGACAUAGACCUUCCCAGAAGCAAAACUGUUGGCCGCGACCGAGCGCUGGAAGCCGAAGGGGAAGAGGAAGGAGACGCGAAGCCAAGGCGGCCGGCACAAAGGCGGCGGACUCGCGGCGGCAGCGCCUGCCCGGCCGGGAGCACACCCCGCGGCCCUACUCCAGCGAAGUCCCGCACCGGCUUCUAGGAAUAAAGUUUACGUUCUCCUGAUGCCGCACCCCCCACCUCCCACCCAGGACGGCACAUCUCCGCGGCCUCCUCCCCCAAACUCCACUCGGGACCCCGAGAACCACCCCAGCCUUCCGGCCACCACAACAAAGAGCCGCACCGACCGGCGAGGGUAAACAGCGGCGGAGGGCGAGAGGGCGGCGGGGCGAGCGCCUCCACGCAGCAACUCCGGAGUCCCCCGCUUGCCCGAGCGCAGUUUCUCCGCUGCUGUUUCCACCAGCUUUGUAACACUGGGAAUUUACAUCCUCACCCGCACCCCUCACGCCCGAAGAUUUUAAACUCACCUUUACUUUCGAACUGAGAGUUGCGGUAGAUGGGAUUUUUGCCUUUUCCCCAGAUGGUUGAAGGUUAAGAUUUUUGGAAACCCCACCACCUCCUUAUUUCUAUUAUUAUUUCUGCAAGAAAAGUAUAAAGAGAGUUGUAGUGGAGGUGAGAUUUGUGAUCGGGAAAGCCCUCGACUCCCUCCUUCUCCGUCUUCCGCCUCUCUCUCUCUGAUUAGUUCCUAUCCAGCAGCAGAUUGAAGCAGGAGAUGAUUCUUCUCAAGGUUUGUUCAGCAGCUUCACUUCUAGGCGAAGGCUUCAUGAACCAAGUGACGUCAACCAACAAGGCUUCUCUCUCUCUCCUCUCUCUAACAAUGAAAGUUGCUGUUAACAAGGGAAAAAAAGAGAGAGAAUUGUUUAUACCAUUUCAGUUCCAAUAAUAAAUGACCUAUCAGCUCCUAAAGGAGCUAAGGGAGGGGGUUGCUGCUUCUUUCCAAGAAUACUGUAGCUUUGAGUUUGCACCGUUCCUUGUCCCAGGAAAAAGUUAAGCAACUUAAAAUGUUUUGCUUUGCUUUUAAAGAAGACAGGACAGAAAAUGGGACUUAAAACUUAGUUUUUUAAAAACAAAAGCUACAGAGUAGGGAGCAUAGGUCAACUACCAUCUCCACCUAAACUUUUUUUUGUUCCUAAACUCAGAAUUCUACAAACCAAAUAAAUUAAUAUGCCGAGAUUUCGCGGAUGUUAAAACUCAAAAAGCAGGAUGCAAGAUGGUCCCGGGGUAAAAUUCUACUGCCUUUCUACGAACAAGUUAAACUGGCUGUAAUGUUUACGCACUAAGUUAAAAUAAAAUUUAAAUAAAAGACGUUAAAAUA